UGUUUUAACUGGCUACACACCAAAGUAUUGUGUGAGUCACAGGCGAGACAGAGAGCUUUUGCUUUGGGAUUGUUUUUGUUUUUUCAGUUUUUUUGGAGCUAGAAAAGCGCUGUGAAAACAUAUUUACUGUCAGCUGUUAUCAGAGGAUGCAGGUGAGGGAAACAAGAAAAAAAAACAAUAUCAAACUGCCA